rnacentral:rRNA from 2 species
CUUCCGCAUGGACGAAAGUCUGACGGAGCAACGCCGCGUGAGUGAUGAAGGUUUUCGGAUCGUAAAACUCUGUUGUUAGGGAAGAACAAGUACAAGAGUAACUGCUUGUACCUUGACGGUACCUAACCAGAAAGCCACGGCUAACUACGUGCCAGCAGCCGCGGUAAUACGUAGGUGGCAAGCGUUGUCCGGAAUUAUUGGGCGUAAAGCGCGCGCAGGCGGUCCUUUAAGUCUGAUGUGAAAGCCCACGGCUCAACCGUGGAGGGUCAUUGGAAACUGGGGGACUUGAGUGCAGAAGAGAAGAGUGGAAUUCCACGUGUAGCGGUGAAAUGCGUAGAGAUGUGGAGGAACACCAGUGGCGAAGGCGACUCUUUGGUCUGUAACUGACGCUGAGGCGCGAAAGCGUGGGGAGCAAACAGGAUUAGAUACCCUGGUAGUCCACGCCGUAAACGAUGAGUGCUAAGUGUUAGAGGGUUUCCGCCCUUUAGUGCUGCAGCAAACGCAUUAAGCACUCCGCCUGGGGAGUACGGCCGCAAGGCUGAAACUCAAAGGAAUUGACGGGGGCCCGCACAAGCGGUGGAGCAUGUGGUUUAAUUC